CUUGUCAUUUUUCACUCCUUUUGUUUUUAAUGUCUAUAUAGUAUUGUCUACAAUACCAAAUUCUGGAUUGACGCCCCAGUACCAGAAGGCACUCCAAUCCCAGAGAGCAUCCCAUUGUGAGGUAACACAACGAAAAAAUAACAGGAUGGAGACUACCUGAUUCUUCACCUAUGGCCUUAGCUUCAAAUGCAAGAAGUCCAGCAACUGUCUGAGCUGGUGGAUAUUCUAUCAGAGACUGCAUGAACAACGUUAUGAACAGAUGCUGUGAGGAGGUGGAGCCCAAAAGCCACGGACUCGGAAAUCGAUGCAGCUAUGGCAGACCACCUCAAGCACGCUCCAGGAAGAGAGCUAGGGGUUGUGAAUACAAAAAAUAAGCCAAACAGAUGUAAUGUGUUAGAAAAAAGUUCACACAAAAAUAAAAAUUGUUAUAAUUUUCUUA